AAAGCGAGGAAGAACCAGAGGUAAAGAAAAAAUAGACACAGAGAUAGAGACAGCAAGAGAAAGAAGACAGAGAGAGAUGAUCGGAGGAAGAGACAGAGAAGCCAGAGACAGAACAGAUAAAGGAGGCUAAUCAGAGACCCGAAGACAGAGGGGUGGACAGGCAGCCUCCAAGCCCCUCCGCCCUGCAGCUAGCUGGCGCCCCCGACAGCCCUUCUAGCCAGGUCCCCCUCGGCCAGCAGCCCAGACCUGGAACUCCAGAGGGAGCUUGUAAGAGGGUCCCCACAGGUUUCCCUGCUCUGGGGUAUUCCUGGCCAGGGUCCUGAGACAGGUAACAAUGUUGAUGCUGCUGCUGAUGAUGCUGCUGCUGCUGCUGCUGAUGAUGAUGAUGAUAGCCACCAGAUAGGAAAUGCUAACUAUAGCCCAGGACCCAGGUACGUGCGUCAUAUUCAUGAUCUCAUUCACCCUCUUCAAAACAACCAAUAAGUAGGUGGAAUUAUGGACAUUGGGAAAACUUAGAUCCAAAUGGGGGAGUGACUUGCCCAAGGUCAAAGAGGUGGCAGAACCUGGAAUGAAACAAAAGUGUCUGAGCUGGGGUUCACACUUUUAAAAAUUAUGGGAUUUUAUGGGAAUAUCUACUCCUAUGCCAGAAGGGACACUGAAGCCAUUGGAAAGGAGUGUGGCCAGCUUGAAUCACACAGGAAAUGUAAGGACUAUUUGAUACAUGAAUGAAUGGGUGAAUGAAUGAAUGAAUGAAUGAAUGAAUGAAACCCAAACCUUGUGACUUGUGACUCAAGGUCCAAUAACUUGGCUGAUCCUCUGUUGAUGCUGACUUGGUGUAAUGAAGAAAGCACAUGAACAUGCCCGAGUGGGAACUAGUGACUUUUACCUGCCCAAUAUCCCUUCUCCUUUGUGGUGCCUGGUCCUCACCUGGUCUCAGUCCUUAUGUUUUCAGUGAGGCUGACCCUACCCUGAAGCUCCAAGGGAGAGACAUUGCCCAACCGUGGCCAAUCAGAGUAUAUUUUCUACCACAAGCUCUGUCCCCAGGCAUAAUGGAUUAUCCAGGGAUGGACAUGUGAUCCAAGCCAGGACAAUGAGACAAGUCUAGACUUUUUGCUGGAACUAUCAGAGAGAGAGAGAGAGAAAAAAAAAGAGUGUUCUCAAUUCCUGGGAUUGCUAAACUAAUGUAAUGUCAGUUUGCAGCUUCUGGUAGCCAUUUUUGUUGUUAUUGUUUGUUGUUGUUGUUCUAUUUUAUUUUAAAACAAAGAUGGGGUCUCCCUAUGUUACCCAGGCUGGUCUUGAACUUCUAGGCUCAAGUGAUCCUCCAGCCUUGGCCUCCCGAAGUGCUGGGAUUAUAGUACUGGGUUCAUACCCAGCCUGUGAGCCAUUUUGCCACCAAGAAUGGAGCCACAAAGAGUAACCACUAUAUCUAGCAACAUUGAACCCCUGGAUCCAGCUAUGCCUGAAGCCUGCAUAUACCCAGAGUUGUUUUCCAGUUACAUAAGUUUUAAUUGGUGUGGCAGAUGCUGCUGGUCACCUAUCAGAAUUCAUUUUCCCUUUCCAAUGCUAUUGGCAUUUCGUAUAGCAAUGCAGCUGUCUGAAACACUUGUUUGUACUUUUUGUACCUCUAAGGGGCCAUGUGACCCAGUUCUGGUUAAUGACUCCUUGGGAGAAAUGUCAUUCUCAAAUAAAAAGACAAGACCCUAAAAGAAA